AGCUUUGCACAGUUGCAGUAUCGUAGCCAAUGAGGUUUAUCCAAGGUGUGAUUAUUGCUAAUUUAGAAAUAAUAAUAAUAAUAAUAAUAAUAAAACUAUUAUGAUACCAUAACACUGUG
rnacentral:snRNA from 1 species